AUGCUUAAGUGUGUCCGAAUCAUGUUAGCAAUUUCCACAUUUUAUGAUUAUGAAAUAUGGCAAAUGGACGUUAAAACUGCAUUCCUUAAUGGAUUCCUUAAAGAAGAGUUGUGUAUGAUGCAACCAGAAGGUUUUGUCGAUCCUAAAGGUGCUAACAAAGUGUGUAAGCUACAGCGAUCCAUCUAUGGACUGGUGCAAGCAUCUCAGAGUUGGAAUAUACGCUUUGAUGAGCUGAUCAAAGCAUAUGGUUUUAUACAGACUUACGGUGAAGCAUGUAUUUACAAGAAAGUGAGUCGGAGCUCUGUAGCAUUUCUGAUAUUAUGUGGAUGA
rnacentral:rRNA from 1 species